UACCAGCACCCCGAGUGGUCGGGACGUUUAUUGAGCCUAAAGCAUCCGUAGCCGGUUCUACAAGUCUUCCGUUAAAUCCACCUGCUUAACAGAUGGGCUGCGGAAGAUACUAUAGAGCUAGGAGGCGGGAGAGGCAAGCGGUACUCGAUGGGUAGGGGUAAAAUCCGUUGAUCCAUUGAAGACCACCAGUGGCGAAGGCGGCUUGCCAGAACGCGCUCGACGGUGAGGGAUGAAAGCUGGGGGAGCAAACCGG
rnacentral:rRNA from 1 species